rnacentral:rRNA from 1 species
UACGGAGGAUCCGAGCGUUAUCCGGAAUCAUUGGGUUUAAAGGGUCCGUAGGUGGAAGGUUAAGUCAGGGGUGAAAGUCUGCAGCUCAACUGUAGAAUUGCCCUUGAUACUGGUUUUCUUGAAUCAUUGUGAAGUGGUUAGAAUAUGUAGUGUAGCGGUGAAAUGCAUAGAUAUUACAUAGAAUACCGAUUGCGAAGGCAGAUCACUAACAAUGUAUUGACACUGAUGGACGAAAGCGUGGGGAGCGAACAGG